rnacentral:lncRNA from 1 species
GGCUGCUCAACACGUUGAAGGUCUUGAGGGUACAAAGUCAGGUCCUCCUCCUAGUGAGGCUGGUCCCACCCUCAGCUAGAAUGCAAACACUCCAGGUGGCGAAAACUUGGGGGUGGGGGGUGUCCCUGGAAAGAGACAGAACCUGCUCUGCCUACAGACUGCAAAGCCAAGAGGCUCUAGGCAAGUCGGGGGCUCUAGGCAAACAAAGAAAGGAAGCCACUUAGGCCAAGACAGACCAGGUCAAAUACUUGACCCAGCUGAACCGCCCAGAAAAGUCAGGUUUGAUCAGAGACCUGGAGAAAUGGAGGGAAGCAGGAAAGUGCAACCAGGCAGAAGCAUCAGGACUGUGAACCGUCAAGAGUGGCAAACAAUAUCCAGAUAUAACUUCUACAGUUCCUGCCCUCUGCUUGAAGUAAAAGUCAGUUGGGACAGGAGACACUAAGGAAAAGUGCCUUCUAGACAAAACGGGACUGAGAAACAUAUAAACUCGGAGAUAGUACCCUCAUGUGCAGGACCUUCAAGGUGUAAGGCAGACAAGAUUCCAGUACUGAGAGAGAACCUUCAUCCAGCAGCUGUUCGAAGCAGAAACAGGCACCCACAGCUAAGCACUGAACCAUACUCCUGGAAUCCAGUUGCCGAGAGGGAGGAGGGAUGACCAAAAGAGCAAAGACGGUGCUGGAGAGGCCUGAAGAAACAGUUGACCUGACCUAGUGAGAGCAUGGAGACCCUAGUCAUAAAGCUGGGGAAACAGCAUUGGACCAAACCAAGCCCUCUAAAUGUGGGUGCCAGCUACGAGGCCAAGACAGUCUAUGGGACCUCUAACAGUGGAGCCAGUCUUUAACCCUAGAGCACAAUGGACUUGGAGCCCAUUCCCUAUGGAGGGAUACUAUUGCAGCCCAGAUACAGCAAGGAGGGCCUAGGCCCUCCCCCAAAUGAUAUGCCAGACUUUGAAGGUCCCCUGUGGAUGAUCUCAC